CGGCGGGGGAGUGUAAAAGGUCUUCAGCGUAUCCCACCCUGCGCCUUCGUCUUACAAACUUGUAAUGAGCGUGCCGGUGUGAGCGGGAGCUGUCCGACUUGCUCGCUGCACCUGUUCCAAUGCACAGCUCGUGUGUGUGCAUUUGGCUUGUCCCGAUGGCUGGUGUAGAUGAUCGCUCACGUGCCCCAAAGCUCCUCGUGCUGGUGCUGGAUUUGCCCCUCGGUAAAGGACCAUGUGCCAUGUGUUCAGCUUUUCUUCCUUACUGUGUCGUCUGUAUGUAUGUAUUUAUUUACUUCUCUGAAGGAAAGGGUGGAUUUUUCAUGGGUCUCUCUGUGCGUGUCUCGAACCAGGCUACAGUAAAUAUACGUAAGCGAGUAGGCUGCAGCGCAUCCUGGACAGUAUCAGAGUGCUACUCUGCUAGCAGUGGAGAGCCGGGUGAAGGUGCCCAGGGUAAGGGCUUGUUCUGCCUCAAGUUGAAUGGAAAGUUUCAGAAGUUGAGCAUCCCGGGGGAUGUUUGUAGGACUGUUGUUAGACAAUAAAAGUUCAGAUGGCUGUCGACGAAGGGGAUUUUGUUGGUUCGUUUCGAUAGCUGUUCCUGCAGAAGAUCUCAUCGGUCACAAAAGGUAGUAGUAACCUUGCGGUUUCUAUGUUCUGUAGCGUCUGUAGCAAAAUACACUGACAGAUGAACAAAUGAGCAGGUACAAAUACACGUGACUCUAUAGCUGAGAUUAAAUAACGUGCAGUUUCUUCUGUGUUUAUCUUUCAAAGCACGUUGUUGCUGAGCGCCUGAGCUUUUUGCUCACAUUACCGAGGAAAGGAAUGGCUGUGCUUCUUCCCCCCUCAUCCCUAUUUUUUUUUUGUUUGUUUUGUUUUCUCUUCUCCCUUGAUGACAGGCACUCGAAAUGUUUUCCUCGGAUAUCCACGUGAAAAUUAAAAAAAAAAAAAAAUGCUGAUGGUGAACACACUGACAGAAUUGGGUGACAUUUUCAAGGUAGAGGAGGACAAAGAAUGUGGAAAUUCCUUGUACGUUAGUGGUGCUCUGUUAUAAAUGGCUCAGGAUUCAAA